GUGAGGAAUAUUGGUCAAUGGACGGAAGUCUGAACCAGCCAAGUAGCGUGCAGGAUGACGGCCCUAUGGGUUGUAAACUGCUUUUAUGCGGGGGUAAAGUGAGUGACGUGUCAUUCAUUGCAAGUACCGCAAGAAUAAGGACCGGCUAAUUCCGUGCCAGCAGCCGCGGUAAUACGGAAGGUCCUGGUGUUAUCCGGAGUUAUUGGGUUUAAAGGGAGGGUAGGCCGUCAGGCAAGCGUUUUGUGAAAUGUCGUGGCUCAACCAUGGACUUGCAGCGCGAACUGCCCGACUUGAGUGCGCAGAAAGCAGGCGGAAUUUGUGGUGUAGCGGUGAAAUGCUUAGAUAUCACGAAGAACCCCGAUUGCGAAGGCAGCCUGCUGUAGCGCUACUGACGCUGAAGCUCGAAAGUGCGGGUAUCGAACAGGAUUAGAUACCCGUGUAGUCC
rnacentral:rRNA from 1 species